CUGGCAGUGAUUUGUGGGGCAGGGAGUUUUCCUCCUUCCCCCUGCACAGUCUGUAAUUCCCUGGUAUUAUAACAUGUCAUUUUUCUAGCAUACCUGAGGAGCCAGGAAAUAAUGUCUGAGCCUAGAGGGACAGCAACGAUGGAACCUCCAAAGAGGCGAGAGAUGGAGAGAUUAGAGCAAGAAACGAAGCCAGCGGAUGCUGCCAGUUCCCAUCACCUAAUCAAAGCUGCUCCGUGGAAGGGCCGCCUCGUUAUUACAUCCCAUUAUAGCCUCCGGCAGCGGCUGUACUUCAUAACCGCCCAGGAAAGCUGACAGGUUGGUAUUGCACCUUAGCAUGGGAUGAUAGAGUAUUAAUUCCUACUUCAUUUCACUGCUCAGAGAGUAAUGAGCCCACCUUUGAAUCAAUAUAACCCAGUGCAUGCCAAGCCUUGGGCACCAAAUGAAGAGGAAUUGUGCUGAUUUUGAAUCAGUGUCUUCCCUCUGUCGCUCCCUGUGCUUGUUGGUUGUGUUUUAUUGCUUGUCAUGAAUUAUGGAGAAACUGAAAUACUUGGAUGUUUUAUAUU
rnacentral:lncRNA from 1 species